AUGCAGGUACUGUUACAAUACAGCUGAAGUGUUCUAUUGUCAUUCCCCCUUCUUAAAGCAAUUCCAUAGCAAGACAGGGAUGCUUGGUCUCAAACAU
rnacentral:snoRNA from 1 species